UACGUAGGUGACAAGCGUUGUCCGGAUUUACUGGGCGUAAAGAGCGCGCAGGCGGUCGAUCAAGUCGAGUGUGAAAGCCCCCGGCUCAACUGGGGAGGGUCAUUCGAUACUGAUCGACUCGAAGGCAGGAGAGGGUAGUGGAAUUCCCGGUGUAGCGGUGAAAUGCGUAGAUAUCUGGAGGAACACCGGUGGCGAAGGCGGCGUCCUGGACCAACACUGACACUGAUGAGCGAAAGCCAGGGGAGCAAACGGG
rnacentral:rRNA from 1 species